CUGAACACUGUUAAAUUGUAAUAAAAAUAACAUCAAGCCGUAAGUCGCAAUUUGUGAACCCCUGCGCUGCACAAGCAGUCAACAAGAAGGAAACUUUUGCAUCUGUCCACCACAUACGGACGGCGUACACAAACACACCGUUUGCCUUCCGUAUUCGAAGCAAUGAUAAAUCAUCAUUGAUCAUUGAUCAGCGCAAAGUCGCUAACAGCGGCAACGUGGACACUACCACCAACAACACCCAGAUCACGAGGAGAGGCGCCGAACAUUAGCUCACCACCGAAGUGGGAUGCGAGCGACAAAUCAUCGACACGCGAACAAGCCAGCUAUUACACAAUCAAGCCGAUCGGAGCAGCAAGGCAGCUUGCUGGCUUGGGCAAAUCAGUUCGUGCCGUAUCAGUCCCCAAGUGCAGUCGUGUGAUCGCGUCGCUCCGGCAGAAAUUAACCGCAGUUAGAGUGAAAAUUAACAGAUUUCGGACCGCUAAUUACUCGGCUGGAAGACGCGGGUCUACUAUCUGCACCGGUCGAGCUUAAGGGCUUGGCGGAUUGCGUGGGCAAGCUAAUAGCAGGCAGGGACGCCAGCGCUCACACACACACGCGCUGGGUGUGGGAUGCCGCGUGGCGAGAAAAGCGGUAGCGAACUAGAUCUUUGGAGGCCAAUCCGGGCCGGAAUCGUCGCUCAAGCCGCGUGAGUCAGCACUCUCGAAUUGAAAGCCGAAACUGUCGCUCUCACCGGGGCAAAAUCAUCCGCGCAGAAGGAUAAUCAAGAAAACAGACGUCGUUCGUCGACACCGCGACUUUUCCGCUACGGAGAGCGAACUGCCAGACCACC